UGGGGUUACAUACAGUGUGACAUAACACCUGUAAGCAGUCCUCGCUGUUGCACGCCUUCUUCUUCUUUUUUUUUUGUGAACAUGUGUGUGCCCUGCCUCUCUUUUUUCACGGCCAAACCUACUUCCUGGUGGAUGAGGCAGCUCCUCAGUGUUGUCGAGGCUAAAGGGAAGGUGGAGGCGGCUGUAGACGGUGUGCAGACGCGAUACAGCAGUUUUUUUCCCAGUACACUUUAUUAGUAGUAUUUUAUAUUUUUUUUUUUUUAAGGUGUUGCGCGUUUGCAGGAAAACAAAACAAAACAAAACAAAACAUGGGAAGCACGGUGAUGGAGUCCAGCAAGGGGAGCUCAAAGAAAAUACCAAAGAAGAGGAGAAGUCUGCGGAUUAACAUGCCAGAUUUCGGGGCGUUUAAUGCCCCUCAAGUGGAGACGAGUGGCUCAACCAAAAGCGGAGCCCACACGGGAGAGCGGCUCAUUCGUUCAGCCAGCCCCAUCAAAGGAGGUUCUGCGAAGAGCCCGGACAUCGCCACACUGCCUCCAUGUCCCCAGUCUGCUCCAGUUCAAUCAAAGCCAAAUUCAGGUUCCCCCAAAAGCAUCUUCCCUUAUCCCUCCCAUCAGAACUCCCCUAAGUCCCCUCGUCGACUGAGCUUCAGCGGUAUCUUCCGGUCGUCCGGUUCUCCCUCUUCGAGCAUCAAACUCUUUUCCAGAACCAGGAGAGCCUCUGGACUCUCUACACCACCCCACACCCCAACCCAGGCAUCCAGCCAACCAGUGUUCACCCAGGAGGCCCAGCAGAGCGGCCCCAGCCCUGAACGCCCGGCGCAAAGCUCUCGCUCUCGCUCCCUUUCCACACCUCCGGACACAGGACAGCGCCUCAGCCUUCCUUCUGCUAAACCCCCAGUCCCUUCAUCGAGCCCCGUGCCACCUUAUUCUACCUCACAACAAGUCUACAGUUUAUUCGAAGGCAUGCUGGAGAAACUUGAUCUAGACGAUGAUGCUGCUGAACCCGAGAGUGAUAUUUACAUGCGCUUUAUGAAAUCCCACAAGUGCUAUGACAUCGUCCCCACAAGCUCCAAGUUGGUUGUGUUUGACACAGCACUCCAAGUUAAGAAAGCAUUCUUCGCCUUGGUAGCCAACGGUGUGCGGGCUGCUCCACUAUGGGACACAGAGAAGCAAAGCUUUGUGGGAAUGCUGACAAUCACAGAUUUCAUCAUCAUACUACACAGAUACUAUAAGUCACCGAUGGUGCAAAUUUAUGAAUUAGAGGAACAUAAGCUCGAGACGUGGAGAGAGGUUUACCUUCAAGCAACAUUCAAACCUCUGGUGAACAUAUCACCAGAUGCAAGCCUAUUUGACGCCGUCUACACUCUCAUCAAAAACAAAAUUCACCGGCUGCCUGUCAUCGACCCCGUUACAGGGAAUGCACUUUAUAUUCUCACACACAAGAGGAUCCUCAAGUUCCUCCAGCUCUUUAUGUGUGAGAUGCCAAAGCCAGCUUUUAUGAAACAGACUCUUGGCGAGCUGGGCAUCGGAACAUACCACGACAUUGCUUUCAUCCACCCAGACACACCCAUCAUCAAAGCACUCAACAUCUUUGUGGAGCGGCGAGUGUCUGCUUUGCCUGUGGUGGAUGACUCGGGCAAAGUUGUGGAUAUUUACUCCAAGUUUGAUGUGAUUAACUUGGCUGCUGAGAAGACGUACAACAAUCUGGACAUUUCAGUGACCCAGGCUCUGAAACAUCGCUCUCAGUACUUCGAAGGAGUUAUGAAGUGCCAUAAAAUGGAAACGAUGGAGACCAUUGUGGACAGAAUAGUCAAAGCUGAAGUGCAUCGGUUGGUGGUGGUGGACGAGCGCUCCAGUAUCGAGGGCAUCGUUUCCCUGUCAGACAUCCUUCAGGCGCUGGUGCUCAGUCCUGCAGGUAUAGAUGCUCAGCAUUGCUAGCGUCAACUCCCCCUCUGCCCUGGACCUUGAGCUCUCUCUAGCCACCUGCCCUCUAACCCUGCCCCAGAUACCUGUAAGGAGGAGAACACGACUGAAUGAGAAGUGGAUGUAUCAGCUUAAGUGGAGAUGUGGUGGGAGUAAUUAAAUUGAAACAUUAAGGUAGGGAGUGUAAGGCUGAGUGGAGCCAGGCUGAAGGUCCCAGAUACCCCUGAAACCAAUGCACUAAUAAAGGCUUGGAACCCAAAGAGCUAGACUGCUGAGUGAAGUGGACUUCUGCACUGAAGAUUGAUUUUGGGUUUUUUUUGUUUGUUUGUUUUUGGGUUUUUUUUCCCCUGAAUUUCUUCUUUGUUAGUGUUUUUUUUUUUUUUUUUUUUUUUUUUAUAAACACUGAUCAAAUACGCACAUAAGAUAAGAUAACCUUUAUUAGUCCCACACGUGGGAAAUUUGUUUUGUCACAGCAGGAAGUGGACAUGUUAAGGGUGUAGACACUGAUCAGCUGCAACAUUAAAACCACUGAUGGGCGGAUUAAACAUUGAGUCCAGUGUGUUCUAAUUGUGUUUUGGGUCCCGACAUUUAUGAGGUACAUAACAUUCCUUGCUUGAUGAUUCUGCUAAAACGAGAUUGAUUAGACUCUAAAUUAGAAGAAAUGAGAAUAGGUCAAAGAAAAAGUGUUUCAUCAUUUUUAAAAAUCUGAAUUUUCUGCAUGUUAUUGCUGCUUGGGGCGUUCUCGUAAACCGAACAAUUCAGAGAUGCAUGAGAAAUGUGCGGUCAUUAUGUCGUGCAUGCCUUUCCUUUAAUGAGACCAUGCAGUGCAGGUUUGGGUUGUGCUGAAACUGGUUUACAGUUGCUGGAAAUUAAAAAAAAAAAAAAAGUGCCAAAGAUGCUCAUGAGUCAUGUACAGAUGACUCAGAUUAGUGGAAAGGGGCUAUAGCCAUCCACCAACCACCUAAACAGUUUUGCAAACCAGCCCAUCUCUGACCCCCAAGGCAAAAAUUCUCAGGAACACUUCAGUAAACUGCUUCCAAACUUCCCAGAUCCCAAUCUAAUCAGUCAUCCCUGGGGAGCACGGGUAUGACCCGAUCCACCAGGGGUUUGCCCUCAUUGUAUGAUGCCUGAUAGAACAGGACACCCGAGGGUCCUGUCUCCAUUCUCCAUACACUACAGCAGGUUUGGUGGUGUGACUGAGACCUGCCAACAGUAUUGGGACGGUGGUUCUUAUGUUGUGGCUGAUUCCUGUUAACACAGAAACUCCAUUACGGUUUCUUUCUGGGGAAAGUUUGGAAACGUCAACACGGGUUCUGGUGGGUUUGGGAUUCAGUGUUUCGGGUUACAGUCAUGCUGCUGUCAUCACAAGUUUAAGUCACGUAGGAAAGCGAGCGUUAACUGGUAACAAAACCACACGUUACCUGCAAUGUGGUCACUUGACGCCAUUAAAGAAAGUCUUUGCCAGUGCCAAUAUAGACCUGCUCAAUGCCCAAUAUUUAUUUGUGCCUUUACUUACUUCUCUCCACAGAAAUGUAUGUUGUAAAAUGGGUGCAAUGAUGAGUAUGAAUGUGUAAUAUUGAAGUAGAGUGCAAAUUGUACCUGCUGCUUCAAAGGUGUGCAUUAACUCGGUUUGGGGGCGGCAUAAAUUUAAAACUGUGUCAGAAGCGUCAAGAAGUUCUGUUAAAUCUUAUUCUUGAAAGAAAAUCCUAAAUCACACUGGCGCUGUUACGCAUUGCUCAGAGGGAAGAUGCAACUGCACGCUUCUGUCAGCCAGGAGUGCUUUAAGUCAUGAGUGAUCAAUAAGACUUAAGUAUGGAUUUUAUAAUGGUAACACCUGGUUCAGGAAAAAACCUUUUUAAAUAUUUGAAAAGCUUUUUCUUCCCCCCCUUCCCGUUUAUUUUCAGUAGUUUUGAAUCUUCAAAUCAGUCUGGUUAUCUCAGCUGUAGCUCAACAGGACUCAUCUCCAUCUUCGAGUGUAAAUAGGAUCGUUUUCGGGAAAUGUGUCACAGAAAGCUUUAUUUUUAUGAACGCUGACGUGUUUGAAGAGAGACUGCAGGUUUAAUGUUAGUUUUGUAAAUACAUUGUGGCAAUAUGUGUAGUUCAGAGAAACUUUGUAACGGAUCAACAUGUACUGUAAAUGUGCAAGCAUGAGAAACUACACUUCAGCAGUAUGAAUGUUUUUUUUCUUUUACUUUUUCUAUUUUUCUGGCUGCAGAAAAAUAAAGAGACACUGAAUGUA